UUUAUGCUCCCUCUGUCCGAAAAAGCUUGUCCCAAGCUUGUCUCUCAAAUGGAUGUAUCUAACACUAGGUGCUAGAUACAUCCAUUUGAGGGACAAGUUUUCUUGGACGGAGGGAGUAUUCA
rfam:Triticum aestivum genome assembly, contig: Triticum_aestivum_CS42_TGACv1_scaffold_250440_3DL